GCGCUGGUAGCUCAGCGGUUACGAUGUUGGGCUACUGAUCCGAAGGUCAUGAGUUCAAGCCCCAAUUCUGUCA